ensembl:lncRNA
ACAAGACCUGCACAAAACAACGAUAUCUGACACACGUGUUAAAGUGGUUAAAGUAGUAAAAGUAGUAAAAGUGGUAAAAGUAAAAAAGCGGUUAAAGUGAUAAAAGUAGUAAAAGUGGUUAAAGUAGUAAAAUUGGUUAAAGUAGUAAAAGUGGUUAAAUUAGUUAAAGUGGUAAAAGUAAUAAAAGUAGUAAAAGUGGUUAAAGUAGUAAAAGUAGUAAAAGUGGUUAAAUUAGUUAAAGUGGUAAAAGUGUUAAAAGUAGUAAAAGUACUUAAGGUGGUAAAAGCGGUGAAAGUAGUUACUGUAAAGUAGUUAAAGCGGUAAAAGUAUUAAAAGUAGUUAACAUGGUAAAAGUGGCGAAAAGUCCUAAAAUAGUUAAAGUGGUAAAAGUAGUUAAAGUAGUUAAAUGGUAAAAAGUAGUUAAAGUGGUAAAAUUAGUAACAGUGGUAAAAGUAGUAAAAGUAGUAAAAGCGGU